rnacentral:sRNA from 1 species
CCACCACCACCACCACCAAAGCCUUCCAUCAGCUUUGUUUUGCAAGGCAGAAACCGAGGCACAGACGGGCUAAGGGCUUCCCAAGUCAUACAGCACCCCAUUGGUAGGACUACCCCCGCCAUCCAAGGCCCUGGCCUUUGGCCUGCUAGACUCACCUGGGCCUCAUCUAGUGGGGAAGACUUAGCCAAGAGCUGGGUAGAAGAGGAAUGAGUAAGGGAGCAGAGGCUGUGCCAUCAGGCUCCAUUUUCACAGAACAGGCUGAGUAAUGGCCCCCAUAGGUAAAUAGCUUGGUAGCCAUAGUGCAGAGCUACUGCCUCUGGUCCCAAUCUAUGCCCUGCCAAGCCCCAUUUCUGCAGGGAUAUCAUUGCUCAUCUUAAAGUGGUAGGCCAGACCCUGGCAGUGGUGAUGGUGGUGGUGGAAGUGGUGGUGGUGGUGGCAGCUGUGGUGGGGAGGCUCUAACAUCCUGAAAGCCAUCUACAGAGGACAUUGAAGACGGGGUGGGACUAAAGCUCAUGUCCACUGUGGUGGCAGAUCCUCUGGGCAUGUAAGCCUCUGUUGCUUUUGUAGGCCCAGAGCCCUUCUCCUUACACUCCCUGUGACUGGAGUGAAGGAGUGGGUAGUUGGCCUGCAGCUUGGGCGUGGCUUGCUGGGUGGAGGUGGCCAGGCUCAGGGCUGCCUGGGCUAUGACACUUCUGUGAACCUCACUCCCUCUGGGUACCUAUUAGCAUGCUACUCCAAGGGGGGCUGGUAAACGUUAACUGGCCUUCCGGCCUUUAGCAGCCAGGGGGUCAGGGAAAGGUCACUGAAACCUGCAGGAUUGAUAGUCUAGGCAUCAGUCUCUACCCAGUUCUUCCAGGGUGAGAACGAACCACCGGGAGCCCAUUUCCACAGAAAUCCUUUUCAGGGGUCUCUUUACUAUGGGCCCGGUCUUCUCCAGCCUCUAAGUCCACAUCUGGGGUUGGGAAGGUGUGUAGCGAGAGCCAGUGGGCAGACUCUGAAUAGAUGGCAGGCCUUGGAAUUUGGGGGCCUGGCCAGGUGUGACCCCAGUGCCUGACCUCUGUGGCCUGGAGGGUAAAGAGGUGGGAGGUGGGGGUUGGGAGGAGGUUACUGGCUAACAGUUACCAGGACCUUUGAAGCUAUAAAUGCUUCCCCGGGCCCCUGCUGGGAUGGAUGGGGUCAGAGUUCACUGGUUGUCUGGCUCUCCAAGUGGGCUGGAAAUCUUGCAGGCAGAUGGAGUAGGGACCCAUGGAAUGGGACAUUCCCAGAGGUGGAAGGCUCAUGGGAAAUGUUAUUUUUGGUGCUCUGGCUUGGCUCAGGCCCAACGACUUGGAGGCCUUGGGAGGGGCUGAUAGAAGUUGUUUUUGUCACAUACUCACUCGUCUCUCGGGUAUGUUUCCCAAGUUGUGUUUGGUCACACCAAGAUCGGCUUCUGAAUGAUGGAGACCUUGCAGUCGGCCUCUGCCUGACCUGGCAAGGAGGAAGAACACGGUCGGGUCUCCUGAUUCAUUGUGUCUCAAUGGGUCCAGUAGACUGGAUAACGGGGUACAUAUGAAAAAAACGGGGAGCAAGAGGAGUCAACAUUCAGGCCUUCAGCACCCGAAUGGACUAAGCUUACUGAAGUCACCGGCAGGUGGAACUGGCUCCACUGGAGAUCAUCUAUGUCUGGUGGCUCACAGAUCGAGGUUCCACUGAGAAUCCCCUGUGAGGCUCAGAGCACUUCUGAGAAGACAUACACAAGCGGCACCAGAACCCUCAGAACUAACAGAAAUACAGACGGAAGCAGAAAAGCAGCGACGAUCCCAGAAAAUGGCUGUUAACAUAUCGAUGCCGUAAGACUUUAAGAUCGCCUGAAAUUGAUUCUCAUAAUUUCCCCCCGGCGCUUGAGAUUGUUUUCCCGUUGCUCUUGCAGCUUCUGCUGGACGCGGUAGCUCAAGUGGAGUCAAUGUGCGUUCAGACCUUCGAGCUCCCACCUCACGCCUGAGCAUGCCACCACCCGCUUGCUCCUACCCAGACUGCAGUGACUUAAGAUGCACUGACUCUCGUGUCCUUUCCACCCAGAUUGUCCUUUAAAGCCACAUACCUGCUCUUAUCUUUCUUGCGGACUCUCUGCUUGUUCCUUCUCGCGUUAGGGAUGACUUAGAGGCAGUAUCGACCCCAUGCUUCUGCCCCCAUUGCUCAGGAUCCGUUGCCGCACAUCCUUCUUACAACCCUUGGAGGAGCUGCAUCGCUGUUUGGCUCCAAGUCUAUGCAGAUGACUUCACUUUCCUCCCAGCUGGUUCAUGUGGACUCAGGUCUGGCUUCAAACGCAGUACCUCCGAGAAGCCUCUUCUUGAUCAUGGCCCUGUUUCCACUCUCCGUGACGGAGCUGAUUGUAUUUAUGCCACCAUUCGGGUGGCUGUCGUGUAGUAACUCUGUCUCUGUUUCUUAGUCUAUUCUUGAGCAACUUUAGCGGACUAUCAGAGUGGAUAAUUUAUAAGGAAAAUUAUCAUAGACCGCUUGUGAUUAUGAGGCCGUGAAGUCCAUCUGGCAAGGGCUCCAUGCUGUACCACAUCCCAGUGGAAGACAUUUCAUGGCAAAAGAGCUCUCUCGAGGAUGGAAAUACGAGCACCGAAGAAGUUGAGUUUGAUCCUUAACAGACACAGCCCACAGCCACGCUUGGCAAUCUUGAGGAUAUUGCCCUCGUGCCCAAUUUCCUUUUAAAGUCCAACCUCUAAACGCUGUCACCAAGGCACUGCAAUUUCAAUAUGACUUUCAGAUAGCGUUUUUAUAUCAUAGUGCCCCGUGCCCCAUACACUGGACAUAAGGCAGGGUGAGCCCAUUUUGCAAACCACAGUAUUUGUUCCUCCUGGCAGCCCUCCCUUUCCUCCCCAGGGGAGCCCAGCUCAUAAAAAUCCACAAAGCUCAUGGCACAUAGCGACUGGCAGCUGUUGAGGAUUCCACCUUCAACAGUAUGUGGAGAGAUGUCAAUGGAUAAGAUGGGCCCCUGAGCUGUCCAGUAAGGUAGAUCUGUGAAGCACAGCUUUGCUACUUUGCUUUUGAUAUACGAAAGGCAAGUCCCAUUCUGGACAGAGCAUCCGGGAUUGAACUCCUUCGUGGAGCCAAGCUUCCACCUCAGCCCUGUAGACUGAUGUGCUCUGAAAGAACUUCUAUAAGUUAGAGAGAGGUUUACCUCCCUUAAAACAGUUAAGUAUUGAUUGUCUCUGUUCUCCAGACAAACAUCAAGUUCGCUCGAUAACUACUUAAUACAUACUGGCAUUCUAUAUAGCAGUAGGGUGCCAGGCAGUGGGUGCAGAGAGCUGAAUAGGCACACGGGGAGAGCUCAGCUGGGAAACACUAAUUACAGCUCACAAAGUCCGCUUAUGUAGUCAUCUUGAUUUGUCACAACAACUUUGUGACGCAUGUGCCAUUAGGACCACUUUACAGUUCAGGAAACGAAGGCUUGGUGAGUUUGCAUUUGAAGGAGUUACAGCCCAAGGCCAAAUGUUUUCACUUCGACUCCAGGUCGACUCUUGAGGAAGCUGACAGUAUAGAUUCGCUGCUCCACGGAGUCUCAUGGUUCAGUCCCCAAGCCCUCCACGCUGAUGAACUUGGUCCCAGCACAUAUGAUGGCGCCCAAGCAUCUUGUUCGGACCCAGUCACGUGGAAACAGCCCUGCCAGUUGCAGAUGGUGCUCCAACGGCCAACUAGGAAAGGCAUCAGCCCUGAGAACUGGAGUCUAGAGAGGAAUUCAGGGUGGUUAUUCAUCCUGGGCAUCAAAGCUGGUGGCUCAGCCAGUGACCUUUAUUUCAGGACAGUUCAAGAGGCAUGUUUUCAUCAGCCACUGCGCAGCGAGAGAAGAUAGACGUACUGAUCCCAAGCACUGAGUGUCUAACGCGGGGGCAUCUCAGCAAAUGGCUUCAUGGUUCACAUUACAUGGUACUCAUGACCCUUGGAAAAAAUUCCGCUCCAGGACUGACAGAUCUAUAGCUUUCUGGCUUCACAUGCAAGGCAAGCAAUCUUUGCCUCUCCUUUGUAGUUUUCUCUUACUGGUCUUGGCUUGGUUGGGCAGCGUAAACACAGUGCCUUUGCUCUGGGGCAUUCCGUCAGCUAUUAAGUGUGCAGGGAGUCCCCACUUGAGCCUUAGCCACACUUAGACAUGUCUGAGCAAGCCUGGAGAGCUGUGAUGUGGGUCUGCUAGCAACCGAUGUGUGCCUGAGCCUCCUGGGAAGGAUGAAAGAAUCGGGCACAACCUGGGUAACGACAAUGUUGCUCGCUUGUAGCAAGAGAUGAGCAAUUGAACACUGGUGAGAGGCCACAACUGCAUUCAGCCAUAACUCAGCCCCCACUGGACUUCUUAGGAGAUUUGGGGGAUGAAUAGGAAGUGUACAGGAGAUUGGGGGGUGGGGGGAUGGGGAGCAAGGGAGGGAGGGAAGGAAAGAGAGAACGAGGGAGAGACUAUGGUUUAAUGCAGUACACUGCAAUCACCGGGAAUCACUGGUCUUGAGAACUAACCAUAGUAGAGAGAGGCCUUGCCCUCAACUCUAUGGCACAGCCUAAGCUUCUAAGGCCUCCAGCACCUCUGAAGUUGCAAGGACUUGAGCGCUCAGCAAGAGGUAGCUGUUUCCAGAGUCCUAGUAAGAAAUCUGAAGCAACCCAAGGAGAAAAAAAUUAGCCAGUGAUUUGUGUAGCUCUCAGGUCUCAUCAGAGCUAUCUGAUGAGAAGGGAAGCCCCAUCCCUUCCACCAGGGCUCAGAGAAUAUCUUGGAAGAUGGUACAGAAAGACUGCAAAAGCUAUUAAGAAUGCUGCACUCAGGAACCCGCAGCCACAGCUGGCAUGAGACUUGCACAAGAUCAAGCUAGUCAACAUUCUAGCAUAGAGGGGCUCAUGAGCCCCUACACCUAGCUGAGGAGCUAUUCAACAGUUGACGGCUGGCAGGGGAGAGAGAGUCAGUUUCUUAGUCCAAUGGAUGGACCCAUACCCACGGAUAUAUAGAUUCUGUAGAUUAUUGAAGAAGGAGAGAGG